UGAGACCUCUUGAUGGCCGCGACCGAUUUUGUCGGUUGAGGAACUUCCGGGCUCCAUAGAGCACGAUGGCGGAUAACGUCCGCCCAGGGCGACCUGAGAGAUAGCGCAGCAGAGAAUAGACCGCCUUACCGGUUUCGGCCGGUGGGUAAGGGUGAAACGGCGGUGUAAGAGACCACCGGGCCGCUGGUGACAGUUGGCCGCAUGGCAAGCCUCAUCGGGAGCAAGGCCAAGCAGAAGGCGUUCGAGGACUGCUCGUCCGAAGCCUUCGGGUAGGCUGCUAGAGCCUGACGGCAACGCCAGGUCGAGAUGGAUGGCCAUCCGUGCCGUUGGCACGACAGAACCCGGGGUAUAAGAGGUCUCACUCU
rfam:Bifidobacterium adolescentis ATCC 15703 DNA, complete genome.